rnacentral:pre_miRNA from 1 species
CUGCCCUGCUCCCCUUCUGUAAUUCUUGCUACCUGAGUGAGUGUGCUAUCUCAGUGCAGUGCACCUGGGCAAGGGUUCUGA